UACGAAGGGGGCUAGCGUUGUUCGGAAUUACUGGGCGUAAAGCGCGCGCAGGCGGUCUUCCAAGUCAGUGGUGAAAGCCUGGAGCUCAACUCCAGAACUGCCAUUGAAACUGUUGGACUUGAGUACGAGAGAGGUGAGUGGAAUUCCCAGUGUAGAGGUGAAAUUCGUAGAUAUUGGGAAGAACACCGGUGGCGAAGGCGGCUCACUGGCUCGUAACUGACGCUCAGGCGCGACAGCGUGGGGAUCAAACAGG
rnacentral:rRNA from 1 species